CCUACGGGUGGCUGCAGUGAGGAAUAUUGGUCAAUGGCCGUAAGGCUGAACCAGCCAAGUCGCGUGAGGGAAGACUGCCCUAUGGGUUGUAAACCUCUUUUAUGCGGGGAUAAAGGUGUCCACGUAUGGAUGUUUGCAGGUACCGCAUGAAUAAGGACCGGCUAAUUCCGUGCCAGCAGCCGCGCUAAUACGGAAGGUACGGGCGUUAUCCGGAUUUAUUGGGUUUAAAGGGAGCGUAGGCGGGUCUUUAAGCGUGCCGUGAAAUUUUGUGGCGCAACCAUGGGAGUGCGGGGCAAACUGGAGACCUUGAGUGCGCGGGAGGCAGGCGGAAUUCGUGGUGUAGCGGUGAAAUGCUUAGAUAUCACGAAGAACCCCGAUUGCGAAGGCAGCCUGCCGCAGCGUUACUGACGCUGAGGCACGAAAGCGCGGGUAUCGAACAGGAUUAGAUACCCCUGUAGUC
rnacentral:rRNA from 1 species